AAUCUAUGUAUUUGAUGAACCCCACUAUCAGGGAGCUUGUGAAAUUUCGGCAUAGUCCAUUGGUUAGGGAUGCUGCAGAAACCAUAACUAGAUAUGGUUUGGGUGAUGAUAGUUCUAAUGAUGACUACAAAAUCUUUACGCUGUCUUACGAUUGGCGUGUUGUCGAAACAGAGAGUUAUCCUGCCUUUGUUGAUGUUUUUAGUUGGGGGAUUGGAAUGUGGAGGAGGAUUGGUUGUUUUCCUUAUGUUCCUAGUUCGCAUUUUGGGGUGUUUCUAAACGGUUUCAUACACUGGCUUGCUUAUUCUAAAGUUGAUAAGGAGUGUGUUAUAAUUGCUUUGGAUACUAGCUGCAAGAAAUUUAAGCAACUGCCAUGGCCUGAUACUGAUCAUUCUUCUCAUAAGUGUGGCCGCGAGCUUGUGGCUCUUGGUGGAUGUCUAGGAAUGGUUGUGGUACAAUCUAGUCACCGUAUGGAUGUUUGGAUGAUGAUGGAGUACGGUGUUGGAGAAUUUGGACCAAAUUUAUUGUUACUACACCUGAAAUGUAUAUGCAUGGGGAUCUAUAUGACUGCUGGGGAGUGAUGAUGCCAUUUUGCAGAUGGGUGGUAAGAACCUUGUUGUGCGGAAUUUGAGAGAGAGAACUAUGAGGGAUAUGGUAAUUGCUGGCAUUCAAGACAAGUUUAGAAGAGGAGUAAUAGGCUUUUCCGAGAGCCUUGUGUUGCCUGUUUUCAGCAGUCAGAAAUGGAGAGCGAAAUUACCCUGACGAUGUCUUUGAAAAUUGAUGCUAGUGGAGCCGUUUAAGGUAUUGCAUGGAGGGGUGUCAGCAUUGAUAGGCGAGGGACUGGCGAGCCCGGAAGCCUACUUAGCCAAUGGGAGAUGGAGGAUUGCUGGAAUUCAACUCAGCAUUAGCCAUCUCAAUAGUGCAAAGUUUCGUGACUUGGUUCUUGCUGAGGCAACCUCUAUCAGUGUUGGCAAAACUAUUCGGGCGAGCAGUAGUUAUUGGUGCACUAACUGGAGCCUGACAUGACUGUUCCGAAUAGUUCCAAUGAUCCAGGUGUUCGGUAUGAAAAGUAGCAAAAGCAUGAUGAGUAACAUUACUGGCACAAUCCACAGUAUAUAUCUCUUCUUGAUACACCCGGUGCAAUUGUAGAAGAAGAAAAGGUCCCCAGUGUUAGGGCCGUGGCUGAAUGGAGUUCCCUCAAUGCUGAAAUUAUAUUGAGGUGUUGGACAUCUAUUACCAACACCAUACAACGCAGCUUGAGAUAGCAAAAGGGAAUUAUUCAUUUAAAAUAUAUCCCUGAUGAUAUAAUCAUCAUCAGAGCUCUUUAAGAUGGGUUCUUGUCCCUGUAGGUGAUAUUGAACGUUGGUGAGCCACAAUAUGACUCUUGCCUGCCUGGAAUCCAAAAGGGAUACUCUAUGUUCAAUCCAUUCCCACAGUUCUGAGGCACUCGAUCUUUUCCUUGACAAUUUGUCUAACAAACAUCUUAGUGCUAGUUUCAGUUGUGAUAUGUCAACUUCAAGCAUUAGACUUGGACCACUGCACAAGCUAGUUGACACUAAAGAUUUGGAUGACG